AACGUAGGACGCAAGCGUUAUCCGGAGUUACUGGGCGUAAAGCGCGGGCAGGCGGCUCGAAGCGUCUGAUGUGAAAUCUCCUCGCUCAACGGGGAGAGGCCAUUGGAAACGGUCGAGCUGGAGGGCAGUAGAGGUAGGCGGAAUUCCGGGUGGAGUGGUGAAAUGCGUAGAGAUCCGGAGGAACACCAGAGGCGAAGGCGGACCUGACUGGCUGCACCUGACGCGUGAGCCGACGGAAAAGCCCAGGGGAGGCGAAACGGG
rnacentral:rRNA from 1 species